UGCCAGCAGCGCGGUAAUACGUAGGGACCAAGCGUUGUUCGGAUUUACUGGGCGUAAAGGGCGCGUAGGCGGCAAUUCAAGUCAUCUGUGAAAUCUCCGGGCUUAACUCGGAACGGUCAGAUGAUACUGCUUUGCUAGAGUGCAGAAGGGGCAAUCGGAAUUCUUGGUGUAGCGGUGAAAUGCGUAGAUAUCAAGAGGAACACCUGAGGUGAAGACGGGUUGCUGGGCUGACACUGACGCUGAGGCGCGAAAGCCAGGGGAGCAAACGGG
rnacentral:rRNA from 1 species